UACGGAGGGUGCAAGCGUUGUCCGGAUUUAUUGGGUUUAAAGGGUGCGUAGGUGGCCUUAUAAGUCAGCGGUGAAAGUCUGCAGCUCAACUGUAGAACUGCCAUCGAUACUGGCGAGCUUGAAUCCGGGAUAGGUCGGCGGAAUUGCUGGUGUAGCGGUGAAAUGCGUAGAUAUCAGCAGGAACACCGAUGGCGAAGGCAGCUGGCUGGACCGGUAUUGACGCUGAGGCGCGAAAGCGUGGGUAGCAAACAGG
rnacentral:rRNA from 1 species